AUUGAACGCUGGCGGAAUGCUUUACACAUGCAAGUCGAGCGGCAGCACGGGGGCAACCCUGGUGGCGAGCGGCGAACGGGUGAGUAAUACAUCGGAACGUGCCCAGUUGUGGGGGAUAACUGCUCGAAAGAGCAGCUAAUACCGCAUACGACCUGAGGGUGAAAGCGGGGGAUCGCAAGACCUCGCGCAAUUGGAGCGGCCGAUAUCAGAUUAGGUAGUUGGUGGGGUAAAGGCUCACCAAGCCAACGAUCUGUAGCUGGUCUGAGAGGACGACCAGCCACACUGGGACUGGGACACGGCCCAGACUCCUACGGGAGGCAGCAGUGGGGAAUUUUGGACAAUGGACGCAAGUCUGAUCCAGCCAUGCCGCGUGCGGGAAGAAGGCCUUCGGGUUGUAGACCGCUUUUGUCAGGGAAGAAACGCUCUGGGUUAAUACCUCGGGGUAAUGACGGUACCUGAAGAAUAAGCACCGGCUAACUACGUGCCAGCAGCCGCCGUAAGAC
rnacentral:rRNA from 1 species